AUGGUGCAUUCGGGGGGCGCAGGCUGCCACCGGUGUGGUUUGUGGCCAGGUGGAUCCGCCCCAAUUAUCGUUGUCACCGUCUCGAUGAUGCGCCCUUCCCGUUUCAGAGCACAUGCGGUGCAUUUAGAUUGUCCCCCUAGAACUGAACAGAGAAAUGUUGACGAUUUAGUGGUGAUGAGGCCUUACCAGCGGCCUCGGUCAGGGGACGAUUUCGCCAAGCGGAAGAAUGCGGGUAAUGUGGUAGUAAUGCGGCCAGAACGAAGAAUGCGGGAUGGUUCGGUGGAUCGUGCAGCCCCUGGAAAUGUCAGAGCAGCUGGGGAUGUCGAGAGGGCCAUUUUGUCCCUGCAAGCUAAGCCGUGGAAACACUUGGGUCAGAACUCAAACGAGGGGGUUGAUUUGCCGAAAGAUAAAGGGGUGUUUUAUGCUGGCAACCUUCGCCGGUACUGCAACAAUGGGAAGCUCAUUCAGGCUUGCUGCGUGAUUGAUGAGAUGGUGCUACAUGGCCAAAUUCCGGAUGCUAAGAGCUGUAUUAGAUUAAUCCGUGGCCUUGUUAAAACUGGCAAGGCAAAUAAAGCCAGGGACGUCCUUGAGGUUAUGGUGCUCUCAGGUGGGAUUCCAGAUACCAUCACCUGCAACAUGCUGAUUGCGCAACUUUGCUGCACAGGGCAGCUGGAUUUGGCGAUGAACGUACUGGAGGACAUGAGGUAUGGCGGUAUCUCUCCAAACGGCAUCACUUUUAACACUUUGAUUAGGUGCAUGUGCAACCAGCGUAUGUAUGGCAGGGCAAUCACCUUUUGGAAAGAGCAAUUAAGAAUAGGUUGGCCACCAUAUGUUAUGACGAGCACCUUGCUUGUUGAUCUUGUAUGCAAAAACUGUGGUCCUAAGCAUGCCAUGGAAGUCUUGAAUGAACUUGCUCUGGAGGGAUGUCAACCAGAUGUUGUCACCUACAAUGCUCUUAUCAGUGCAUCAUGUAAAGCAGGCAGGCUGAAGGACGCAAAGACCAUCUUAACUCGUCUUAUUGCUGAAGGCCUUGAACCAAAUAGUACAACUUAUUGCAUCUUACUCCAUUCUCUCUGCAAUACAAAAAGGUGGGCUGAAGUUUGUGAUUUACUUGCACAUAUGAACCAUGCAAAUUUUGAGCCUGAUGUUACUGCCUACAAUAUCUUUAUCAACUACUUCUGUAAGUAUGGGCAUCUCGAUCAGGCUAUUGGUGUGUUGGAGAAGAUGGUUAGCGAUAAAUGUUUUCCUGAUAUAGUGACGCACAACACACUCCUAAAUGCCAUAUGUAAAGAGGGUAUGGUGGAAGAAGCUCUUUUGAUAGCCCGUUGCAUCAGAGAAAAUGGAUGGCAGUUGGUUCGUAUUACGUACAACACCCUGAUAGAUGCUUUAGCAAACAAGGGUGAGGUGGACAAAGCUAUGACUCUGUUUGAUGAGAUGGCUAGUGAUGGGAUCAGUCCCGAUGACAUUACUUAUGGUUCACUUGUUAUGUGCUUCUGUAGGAAAAACAUGGCUGAAGAGGCCCUAGAGCUCUUGAAUCGUACACUUGCUGUUGGUUUUCAGGUUAAAGUAACUACUUUUGUCAUGGUGAUCCAGGCAUUGUGCAGAGAUAGCAAAGCGGAAGCUGCUGCUGAUAUAAUGCGAGUAAUGGUAUCAGAAAUUAAAAACACCAGCAACUCAUUUUAUCUAUCUAUAGUCAGAAGAGUCGCGAAAUCAGGCAGGAUUGAAGAAGCAGAAAGGCUGCUUCAGGAAUUAGUUGACUGCAAGAUAGUGAAAGAAGAUUCCCUUGUUGUGUUGAGCGGC
rnacentral:rRNA from 1 species